AGUCGAGGGGUAUAGGAAGCUUGCUUCCUAGAGACCGGCGCACGGGUGCGUAACGCGUAUGCAAUCUACCUUGUACAGGGGGAUAGCCCAGAGAAAUUUGGAUUAAUACCCCAUAGUAUUAUUGAGUGGCAUCACUUAAUUAUUAAAGUUCCAACGGUACAAGAUGAGCAUGCGUCCUAUUAGCUAGUUGGUGUGGUAACGGCACACCAAGGCUACGAUAGGUAGGGGUCCUGAGAGGGAGAUCCCCCACACUGGUACUGAGACACGGACCAGACUCCUACGGGAGGCAGCAGUGAGGAAUAUUGGACAAUGGGCGCAAGCCUGAUCCAGCCAUGCCGCGUGCAGGAAGAAGCAUCUAUGGUG
rnacentral:rRNA from 1 species